AGAAUAUUCCUGUAAGAUUGUUCUGAGUGUAUGGCUGCAAUAUGUCUUGAAAUUAAAUUGACAUAUUUCUGGUUUAGUUUGGAUUUUGCAUUUUCUUUGACUUUGCAAAAUUGCUUUCAAAAAUAUUUUUUUUCAGGUAUUUUGCACAGAGAAAAAACUAUGUGUUCUUCUAAAGGGAGAGAAUGAGUAUCUAAGAUCAUACAUCUAAGUCUCCAUGGUGUGAAAACCCCAGGCAAUCAUGAACAAAACUGCUUCAGCUCUAUGCCAGAGUCUUCCUGGGAGGAGGUGACUUGCAGAGUUGUGAGUUAGGAGUCAGUGUGAGCAGAAAUCCUCGUGCAGAUGCAGGGCGCUCACCGGAAACAAUUGAGAAUGGCAGUGGUAUCCUGCAGGAUGUGUGUGACAUGCUCAGCUGGGGCUUGAUUUACACAGGGCCACAUUAUAGAUUAUACAUUCUGACUGUAAUCCAAGAUCAGGAAGGAGACAAUGCAUUACCAUCUGAAACACAAGAAAGAUCAAAAUAAGUUUUCAAUGUGCCACCAAAACCACAGUGCUAGGUUUCUGUUGAGGCAAAUGAGUAAUACCAUUCUAGCUGUGAAGGUUGCUGUGAGUGGGUAAUAAUUCCAUUUAACUGAUGGGGCAGAUUAUGUAUUCUGCAAGAAAAUAAAUAAUCCCAGGUAAAAUCUUGCCCUAUUUCUUUAGGUCAAUAAGAGAACCCACCUACUGUACCCACUUGGCUGAAGUUGCUCUAUGCAUACUUGUCUAACUUUAGGGUUCAGGAACAGGUCUGUUCUCCAUCCUACAUCCCCAAAACAGCCUUGCUCAGGAACACAUUGCCUCCAGCCUUGGUGUGGAGCAGGAAUCUGUUCCUGCUGCUGCUCCCAGAAUGUGGGAUGACCCCCAGCUCUGCAGCUGCAGACAGAAUGUGUCAAGGCCCCUCUCAGAGUCUCUCUGCCCAUUUCUCUUUAACACAUUGUAGGCUUCAGACUUUCCUGUGUACCCAGGGAAUUUACUGAUCAAGCCAGGGCUCCCUCCUGGAGGGGGAUAUGGGUCUAUUCAGAACAGGGAUGCAAUAACCAUUCAAAUUUUGUGUGCCAACCUGUUCUCCACAGACAACACAAACUGACAGAACACAGGUAACAUAUUGUGAAUGCUGUGCCUAUUUCUUACUUUGUUUUGCCAGUGAAAAUAGAUUAAAAUUGAUAUUAAGUUUCCUUCUUGUUCCUCCAAUAAUAGAAAAUUACCAGGGAAGAGAAAAUAAGACAGAUUUUGUUCUCUAGAAAGGCCUUCAGCUAAAUGUUGUUUUUUUUCUUUUAAUACUAUGAAACAUUCUUGUCUGCCUUAAUAGAUGAGAAAAGUAACAGUAGAACUGUGAAACAAAUUAGUACAUCAGAAAUAUCAACCCUUGGACCAUAGCUAAAUCUAUAUUCAUAUUUGUAAUAGUACUGCACAUCAAUAAUAUAAAGCUGUAGCGAUUAUAUACUGUAUACAUUGAUUUGUUGAAAUGAUAGUUAUGGGUGAAGUUCUAAACAGACACUGCAACAUAUAAUAAAGGACUGACCUACUAACAGAUCUAAUAAUAAAACAGAUCUAGUAAGACAAGCUCAUACAGUAAGUAAUCCAAAACCUAAUGAUUUGUUUCAGUUUCAUGAAAAACUUUUUAUUGUUUUCUGUCUGUGUUAUUAAACAUUAAGAAUACAUUUUCCUUUAUAAAUUUUAAAUGUUUCCGGUCUGAAAUUUUUGUGCAGACAGUCAAACUAACAUUGAACAGAAGUAUACUUUUUCCAGAUGUUAUACUUACAAAAUUUUGAAAUUAAAAUCCUGCUGAUGCCUCCUAAUAUUAAUAUGCCUUUUCAUUGGGAUAGGCUCAUUACAAUCUUCUUUUGGAAGUGUCAUCUGCUUAAGUAAGAUUUGAUUUACAAAGCAAUGCUAAUAUGUUUCAUUUUAAUUAAGAUCUUCACUAUUUUCCUAAAUAGGCAUAUCUGUCCCUAGUUUUAACUUGUAAUACCCUGUUUAACAAAAGAGCAGCUUCAAUCAUACUGAGAGCACUUCUGCAAGUUUUCACAGUUGAUUGCUGGGAUGAGAGCUGUAAAAACAAGGAUCAGGUGAAGAUCCUUUCUUGGAUAUGAGCCUCUAUUUUUAUUUGUAGUUCAUAAGUCUACUUAUUAAAUAGACAAUAAUGACUAUAAUCAAAUAUAUUUAUAUUUUUGUGUGUCAUUGGAGUCAAACAGCAACCUACAUGGCUGCAGUGUGUGUGAAUGUUCCUGCAGCACAUUCAGGUUUUGGCUUUCAUUAGGCAGUAAGACAUGUUGCCUGCAAAAAUAUCACACGACUUGAAAAGGAGACUCUAAUUUCAUAUGGGAAAUUAUUUCAUCCCUCUUACAUGAGAUCAAAAUCACUAUGCCUUUAAUCAUUACUAUGGA